UCUUGAUACAUAACUGAAAAUUCUAAAAGCAUUCCCAUCGUAGUUCAUCAUCAAAAUGAUGUGAAAAAUGGGAAUACUUUAAGAAUUUCAGUUAUGCAUCAAUC
rfam:Cajanus cajan CcLG07_1148, whole genome shotgun sequence.